GGCUUAACACAUGCAAGUCGAGGGGAAACGAUAUUGGAAGCUUGCUUCCGAUAGGCGUCGACCGGCGCACGGGUGAGUAACGCGUAUCCAACCUGCCCAUCCACGUUGGGGAUAACCUUGCGAAAGUAAGACUAAUACCCAAUGACGUCUCGUAGAAGACAUCUGAAAGAGAUUAAAGAUUUAUCGGUGUACGAUGGGGAUGCGUUCCAUUAGGUAGUAGGCGGGGUAACGGCCCACCUAGCCUACGAUGGAUAGGGGUUCUGAGAGGAAGGCCCCCCACAUUGGAACUGAGACACGGUCCAAACUCCUACGGGAGGCAGCAGUGAGGAAUAUUGGUCAAUGGACGAGAGUCUGAACCAGCCAAGUAGCGUGAAGGAUGAAGGUCUUACGGAUUGUAAACUUCUUUUAUAAGGGAAUAAACCCUCCCACGUGUGGGAGCUUGUAUGUACCUUAUGAAUAAGCAUCGGCUAACUCCGUG
rnacentral:rRNA from 1 species